UGGGGAAUAUUGGACAAUGGGGGCAACCCUGAUCCAGCAAUGCCGCGUGUGUGAAGAAGGCCUGCGGGUUGUAAAGCACUUUCAAUUGUGAAGAAAAGCUGAAGGUUAAUACCCUUCAGUCUUGACGUUAGCUUUAGAAGAAGCACCGGCUAACUCCGUGCCAGCAGCCGCGGUAAUACGGAGGGUGCAAGCGUUAAUCGGAAUUACUGGGCGUAAAGCGCGCGUAGGCGGUUUUGUAAGUCGGAUGUGAAAGCCCUGGGCUCAACCUGGGAAUUGCAUUCGAUACUGCUUGACUAGAGUAUGGUAGAGGGAAGUGGAAUUCCAGGUGUAGCGGUGAAAUGCGUAGAUAUCUGGAGGAACAUCAGUGGCGAAGGCGACUUCCUGGACCAAUACUGACGCUGAGGUGCGAAAGCGUGGGGAGCAAACA
rnacentral:rRNA from 1 species